rnacentral:rRNA from 1 species
UACGGAGGGGGCGAGCGUUAUUCGGAAUUAUUGGGCGUAAAGGGCGCGUAGGCGGCUUGUCAAGUCAAAGGUGAAAUCCCUCGGCUCAACUGAGGAACUGCCUUUGAAACUAGCGAGCUUGAGUCCGGGAGGGGGUAGCGGAAUUCCCAGUGUAGCGGUGAAAUGCGUAGAUACUGGGAGGAACACCAGUGGCGAAGGCGGCUGCCUGGACCGGUUCUGACGCUGAGGCGCGAAAGCGUGGGUAGCAAACAGG